AUUGAACGCUGGCGGCAUGCCUUACACAUGCGAGUCGAACGGCAGCACGGGUGCUUGCACCUGGUGGCGAGUGGCGAACGGGUGAGUAAUACAUCGGAACAUGUCCUGUAGUGGGGGAUAGCCCGGCGAAAGCCGGAUUAAUACCGCAUACGAUCUACGGAUGAAAGCGGGGGACCUUCGGGCCUCGCGCUAUAGGGUUGGCCGAUGGCUGAUUAGGUAGUUGGUGGGGUAAAGGCCUACCAAGGCGACGAUCAGUAGCUGGUCUGAGAGGACGACAAGCCACACUGGGACUGAGACACGGCCCAGACUCCUACGGGAGGCAGCAGUGGGGAAUUUUGGACAAUGGGCGAAAGCCUGAUCCAGCAAUGCCGCGUGUGUGAAGAAGGCCUUCGGGUUGUAAAGCACUUUUGUCCGGAAAGAAAUCCUUGGCCCUAAUACGGUCGGGGGAUGACGGUACCGGAAGAAUAAGCACCGGCUAACUACGUG
rnacentral:rRNA from 1 species